rnacentral:rRNA from 1 species
UACGGAGGGUGCAAGCGUUGUCCGGAUUCAUUGGGUUUAAAGGGUGCGCAGGCGGGACAUUAAGUCAGGGGUGAAAGACGGUUGCUCAACAAUCGCAGUGCCUUUGAUACUGGUGUUCUUGGGUGACCUUGAGGUAGGCGGAAUGGGUGGUGUAGCGGUGAAAUGCAUAGAUACCACCCAGAACUCCGAUUGCGAAGGCAGCCUACUGGAGGUUUACCGACGCUCAGGCACGAAAGCGUGGGGGAUCAAACAGG